rnacentral:rRNA from 1 species
GACGAACGCUGGCGGCGUGCUUAACACAUGCAAGUCGAACGGAAAGGCCCUGCUUUUGUGGGGUGCUCGAGUGGCGAACGGGUGAGUAACACGUGAGUAACCUGCCCUUGACUUUGGGAUAACUUCAGGAAACUGGGGCUAAUACCGGAUAGGAGCUCCUGCUGCAUGGUGGGGGUUGGAAAGUUUCGGCGGUUGGGGAUGGACUCGCGGCUUAUCAGCUUGUUGGUGGGGUAGUGGCUUACCAAGGCUUUGACGGGUAGCCGGCCUGAGAGGGUGACCGGCCACAUUGGGACUGAGAUACGGCCCAGACUCCUACGGGAGGCAGCAGUGGGGAAUAUUGCACAAUGGGCGGAGGCCUGAUGCAGCAACGCCGCGUGCGGGAUGACGGCCUUCGGGUUGUAAACCGCUUUCGCCUGUGACGAAGCGUGAGUGACGGUAAUGGGUAAAGAAUCACCGGCUAACUACGUG